AUGACUAAUCUUCCACCUCGCAAAAUGCAGUCGAAGUCAGAAGUUGGUAGUGGAGACAUGCUGCCUAGCGAUAUACAAGCUUGUAACGGGGACAGGCUAAGUGAGCUGCCUGCCGAUGUGCUGCUCAACAUUCUGGAGAGGGUUGGUACGCUUGAUGCAGUAAAAACUUGCAUACUUUCGAGGAAAAUGCAGAAGCUGCCAAUUAUGCUCUCGCAGAUCGUUAUUGAUCUCAGCCCUCGUGAUUUGUUUCGAAAAAGUGAUGUCGUGGCUGAUGUGACCAACAAGAUUCUUAGCAGGAGGCCUCCACGGAUCACCAUUCGCAAGCUGAAGCUCAAAUUUGUCUUGAGUCCUUCUCGCUGCCUUUCCAUCGGCAAAUCCAUUGGCCUCGCCAUGGCAACUCAGAAAUUUGAUGCAGCUGAGUUUGAGAUCAUGACGCCGGUGGAUUUCCAUCUUUGCACUGAUGCCUAUCGCCUCCUCUUUGCUGAGCAGUUCAAUAAUUUUGUUCGUGAUUGUCCAGAUGCAUUUGCUGGUCUCAUGCGGCUGCAUCUACGAAAUAUGAGGUUUGGUGAAUCAGACAUACCCAACAUCCUAAGCAAUUGCAAGCGACUGGAGUCACUGUCUUUCUUCAUGUGUGGUGUGGGGAUCAGUUCGGUUCUGCAUGUGGAACACACUCAACUCGUCGAGCUUGUUAUGUCCUAUUGUGUAUUCAAAACAGUGGAGCUCACCUCUCUACCAAAGCUCCAAAGGAUGACCUUUGGUGAUUGGCCCUGUGAUGAAAAUCCGUUGGUUCUUGGUUUUGUCCCUCAGCUUUCCAAGCUCAGUCUUGCUAACCCAAACUUUUCAGGCAAGACCCACAACUUAAGCAAGCUGCUUGCUGAUGCCCCUACUGUAAACGAUUUGUUUCUCGAGUUUCGAAGUGAAAAGAUUUGGGUUCAACCAGAAUGCCCGAAAGUGCUUGCUCCUGUUCUCGCCAAAUUACGGUUUGUGAAUCUGGAUCACCUUCCCGAAGAAUGUGAUAUAUCUUGGACAAUGUUCCUUCUUGAAGCUGCACCGUCGGUAGAGGACCUUUGCAUCACAGUAUGGGAUCAUAAGUGCCGAAAGAAGUCACACGAGAGUUACUCCAGGAAAACAGAUGUGAAGUGGGAGGCAUCUGAUCCUGAUUUUAAGCACAAGAAUCUGGCGAGGCUAACUAUUUACGGCUUCCAGUCCGAUGACAAUUUCACAAGAUACGUCAGGCGUGUUAUUCAAGCUGCGGUGAAUAUCAGGAAGGUAUCUCUGCACGACAGGAAGACGCAAGCUUUGCUGGAUGAAGAAAAUGCACGUGGAGAACGGCAGAGUCCCUGUCCGCGGUCUUGCCGUAAGAGUACGGGCUGCUGCACAGUGGUCUGUUCAAUCCCAGCGGCCAGCGAGAGCAGUCCAUUUGGGAAUGCUUUGCUGAAGAUUUGCAACGCUCGAUCAGUUCAUCAUCGAUCUUUGCACUCGGGUUUUUUUACCGCAAGAUGUAGAUGGCCUGAUGUGGGGUUAGCGUCUUCAAACUGA
rnacentral:rRNA from 1 species